rnacentral:tRNA from 1 species
GGGCCAAUAGCUCAGUAGGUAGAGCAACGCCCUUUUAAGGCGUGGGUCGUUGGUUCAAACCCAACUUGGCUCA